UACGGAGGGUGCAAGCGUUAAUCGGAAUUACUGGGCGUAAAGCGCACGCAGGUGGCUGAGUCAGUCGAUUGUGAAAGCCCUGGGCUUAACCUGGGAAUUGCAGUCGAUACUACUCAGCUAGAGUAUGGGAGAGGGUAGUGGAAUUCCCGGUGUAGCGGUGAAAUGCGUAGAUAUCGGGAGGAACAUCAGUGGCGAAGGCGGCGACCUGGGCCUGAACUGACGCUGAGGAGCGAAAGCUAGGGGAGCAAACGGG
rnacentral:rRNA from 1 species